UGAAUUUCGGGGUUAGUAGGUUGGUCAUGCCUCUGGUAUGUACUGGUCUCACUGAUUCCUCCUUCCUUAUGAACCGUAAUGCCAUUAAUUUGGUGUUGCGGGGAAUUUGGACUGUUACUUUGAAAAAAUUAGAGUGUUUAAAGCAAGCUAACGCUUGAAUACAUUNGCAUGGAAUAAUGAAAUAGGA
rnacentral:rRNA from 1 species